rnacentral:rRNA from 1 species
AACGAACGCUGGCGGCAGGCUUAACACAUGCAAGUCGAACGCCCCGCAAGGGGAGUGGCAGACGGGUGAGUAACGCGUGGGAAUGUGCCCCAAGGUACGGAACAACACCGGGAAACUGGUGCUAAUACCGUAUGUGACCGAGAGGUGAAAGAUUUAUCGCCUUGGGAUCAGCCCGCGUUAGAUUAGCUAGUUGGUGAGGUAAUGGCUCACCAAGGCUACGAUCUAUAGCUGGUCUGAGAGGAUGAUCAGCCACACUGGGACUGAGACACGGCCCAGACUCCUACGGGAGGCAGCAGUGGGGAAUCUUGGACAAUGGGCGCAAGCCUGAUCCAGCCAUGCCGCGUGAAUGAUGAAGGCCUUAGGGUUGUAAAGUUCUUUCGUCGGGGACGAUAAUGACGGUACCCGAAGAAGAAGCCCCGGCUAACUUCGUGCCAGCCGCCGCCGUAACAC